UACGUAGGGACCAAGCGUUGUUCGGAUUUACUGGGCGUAAAGGGCGCGUAGGCGGUUUGUCAAGUCAGUUGUGAAAUCUCCGAGCUUAACUCGGAACGGUCAACUGAUACUGUCAAACUAGAGUACAGAAGGGGCAAUCGGAAUUCUUGGUGUAGCGGUGAAAUGCGCAGAUAUCAGGAGGAACACCGGUGGCGAAGGCGGGUCUCUGGGCAACAACUGACGCUGAGGAGCGAAAGCGUGGGGAGCGAACAGG
rnacentral:rRNA from 1 species